AUUGAACGCUGGCGGCAGGCUUAACACAUGCAAGUCGAACGAGUGGAGGACGGGUGAGUAAGGGUGGGGAAUCUAGCUUAUGGAGGGGUAUAACUACGGGAAACUGUAGCUAAUACCGCGUAAGAUAGUAUGAGCCCAAGUGGGAUUAGGUAGUUGGUGAGGUAAAGGCUGACCAAGCGGACGAUCUCUAGCUGGUCUGAGAGGAUGAACAGCCACACUGGGACUGAGACACGGCCCAGACUCCUACGGGAGGCAGCAGUGGGGAAUCUUGCGCAAUGGGGGAAACCUGACCCAGCCAUGCCGCGUGAAUGAAGAAGGCCUUCGGGUUGUAAAGUUCUUUCGGUAGCGAGGCGUUAACUACAGAAGAAGCCCCGGCUAACUCCGUGCCAGCAGCCGCGGUAAUAC
rnacentral:rRNA from 1 species